GAAAUGCGAUAAGUAGUGUGAAUUGCAGAAUUCAGUGAAUCAUCGAAUCUUUGAACGCACAUUGCGCCCCUUGGUAUUCCAUGGGGCAUGCCUGUUCGAGCGUCAUUUGUACCUUCAAGCUUUGCUUGGUGUUGGGUGUUUGUCUCGCCUCUGCGUGUAGACUCGCCUCAAAACAAUUGGCAGCCGGCGUAUUGAUUUCGGAGCGCAGUACAUCUCGCGCUUUGCACUCAUAACGACGACGUCCAAAAGCACAUUUUUACACUCUUGACCUCGGAUCAGGUAGGGAUACCCGCUGAACUUAAGC
rnacentral:misc_RNA from 1 species